rnacentral:rRNA from 1 species
GUGGGGAAUCUUGCGCAAUGGGCGAAAGCCUGACGCAGCCAUGCCGCGUGAAUGAUGAAGGUCUUAGGAUUGUAAAAUUCUUUCACCGGGGACGAUAAUGACGGUACCCGGAGAAGAAGCCCCGGCUAACUUCGUGCCAGCAGCCGCGGUAAUACGAAGGGGGCUAGCGUUGCUCGGAAUUACUGGGCGUAAAGGGAGCAUAGGCGGAUAGUUUAGUCAGAGGUGAAAGCCCAGGGCUCAACCUUGGAAUUGCCUUUGAUACUGGCUAUCUUGAGUAUGGAAGAGGUAUGUGGAACUCCGAGUGUAGAGGUGAAAUUCGUAGAUAUUCGGAAGAACACCAGUGGCGAAGGCGACAUACUGGUCCAUUACUGACGCUGAGGCUCGAAAGCGUGGGGAGCAAACAGGAUUAGAUACCCGAUAGUCC